UACGAAGGGGGCUAGCGUUGCUCGGAAUCACUGGGCGUAAAGGGCGCGUAGGCGGCUGAUUUAGUCGAGGGUGAAAGCCCGUGGCUCAACCACGGAAUGGCCUUCGAUACUGGUUGGCUUGAGACCGGAAGAGGACAGCGGAACUGCGAGUGUAGAGGUGAAAUUCGUAGAUAUUCGCAAGAACACCAGUGGCGAAGGCGGCUGUCUGGUCCGGUUCUGACGCUGAGGCGCGAAAGCGUGGGGAGCAAACAGGAUUAGAUACCCUAGUAGU
rnacentral:rRNA from 1 species